UCUGUCACCACUUCCAUUAACACUUUGGGAUGGCACCUGGACUGGGUGCCUUGUCAGUUGGAAGGAUCUCUGACCUUUUAAAUAAGCAUUUUGACUGUUAUCUGCACUGAAGAUAUGCUGAACAGUUUGUGGGAUGGAAGGAGUAACACUGAGAAUCGGGGACCACAUCUGCACCAGUACCUCAGCCAAUCCUGCUUCUACUUUGCCAGAAUGGAUGGCCAUGGAGGCUGAGGAGGUGGUAUGGUAUCAAGAGACAGUGUGGUCC